GAUGAAGAACGUAGUGAAAUGCGAUAAGUAAUGUGAAUUGCAGAAUUCAGUGAAUCAUCGAGUCUUUGAACGCACAUUGCGCCCCCUGGUAUUCCGGGGGGCAUGCCUGUCCGAGCGUCAUUGCUGCCCUCAAGCACGGCUUGUGUGUUGGGCCCCCGCCCCCCGGCUUCGGGGGGCGGGCCCGAAAGGCAGCGGCGGCACCGCGUCCGGUCCUCGAGCGUAUUGGGCUUCGUCACCCGCUCUGUAGGCCCGGCCGGCGCCCGCCGGCGACCCCAAUCAAUCUUUCCAGGUUGACCUCGGAUCAGGUAGGGAUACCCGCUGAACUUAAGCAUAUCAAUAAGCGGAGGA
rnacentral:misc_RNA from 1 species